CAGACCACAUAACCGUAUUAGAAAGAUUCAUGUUGUGGCUUCAUUAUUUAUUAGUCCUUUUCAUUAGUGCUGUCAGCAUUAAUCUCGGUAGAAUAAAGUUGACGCCAUAACUGCAUUAACGCGGCAAAUCUCCGUUAGCGAGUAUCUCCCCGUCUGUCAUGUUUCAGCUGUGUGGCAGGCAGGGAUUGGACCCAAACGCAAACUCACUGGAGACAGGAUUGAACUCAAAAGGGCAGCUUUUAUUGCUGAACACAAAAACUCUACAAAAAUCUAAACUGGGAAGACUAACAAACACUGACACUGACAAAGAGAAACACAGGGCUUAAAUACACAGAGGGAUAACGAGGGAAUGAGACACAGAAGGAGAGCACAGCUGGGAGUAAUCAGGCUGGAGGAGACAAGGGAAGCAAAACAGGAAACACUCACAUGAGACAUGGACCUUCAAAGUAAAACAGGAAACACACUGACUGAAUUCUAAACAUUCAAACUUAACAGCAACUGGGGAGACAGAACAUAGGAACCUGAAACAUGGUACAAAAACGUCACAGUGGACAUAACAUGGAACACAGGGAAGCCAUAUGACAAAGCCAAAGAACUAAACCUAUGAUAACCAUAACAGACCUAGGGAAACAAGAAACAGUACAACAAAGGUCUCAAAACAUAAACCAUAAUAUAAAAACACAAGAUCUCUUCAAAAUAAAAUAGGAAACAUAAUGAGACGCAGACAUGACAACCAGAACUUGACAACGUAAGACACAGACAUGAAACACAUGAAGAGCAGGGGAGACUUAACAUGGGUUGGAAACACAAGGGGGAACUAAUAAGCAAAUGAACAUAGGAGACCUAAUGAGCUUAAACAUACUAUAAACAUCAAAAUGAACUAAAACCCAGGAUCGUGACACCGUCUGUGCGGCUGGACGGUGCAAACGCGUUAAAGAGCUAGUCGCACUAUAUCAUUGAUGCCGUACCUUUAAUAUUUAAGUGUAUCACUCAAAACAAAGCAAAACCUGGACAUCUGCAUAAAAUCCAUAGAAAUACAUUCCAGAGUCAAACACAUCCACGUGUUUGAUUAGGCAGAAGAUGGAUGAGAAGCUGAAAGUCAUUUCAGGUGAUCCCCUUAUUGAAAUCCUUCGCACCAUUCACUACUUUUACCAGGAGUAAACAUGAGUCUGAUCCAGCUGUACCAGUGAACCAGAAUGUUAUGGAACUGGAUGUUGGAGCGCUGCAGCAUGAUUUUUUCUGGAACGACCUCCACAGUCUGAGACCCACUGAAUCAAAUUAAAUGCUUUUUUAAACAAGAAAAUGCCAUACAUUCAGAAUUAAUGAAUUAAUUAAAUUAAGUCUUAAUUAAAGCUAGGUUAAAAUAUAAAAAAUAUGUCAGCACAUACACAGGCUGCAGAGACUGUCUUAAGAGACAAAGCUGUUAUCAAGUUGAAGUUAAUCACUGCACACACGACUGAAGCUUUGCAAUGUCUGGAAUUAUGUGAGACCCAGGAAGGGGGGUCUUUCAAUAAAAAGAGGAGGGUGUUUUUCUCAAACGACAACAAAAACGCUACCAGGAAAAGCCACCGAUACUACACUUUUACCCACAUGACAUACAAAUGAUAUUUUCUUCAGUUUCUCAAGGUUAAAAAAGCAGCGACAUAAAAACAUCUUGUUAAAAAAGAUCCAGUUCAUUUCCAUGCUCAAAAGACUUGCUAAAUAAACUCAGAUAAUGAAAAAAAAAUAGUGUAAAAUAGACAAGAAAUGUGUGUAGAGGUGUGUAUAGGUUGUCAAAACAUGGUUUCCUGUGUCAAAUGUUAAUUAUUUCUUUGAAACUUUAUCAUGAUAACUGACUUGUUCCUGUGUUAUACAGUAACUAUGGCCACUAGAAGGUUCUGUUAAUAUGAAUAGAAAUUAUGUAAGUUGUAAUUAAAGAGCAAACUCUUUGGCUGAAAACCCAUAAUUCAUUAAUAAACAAUUAAACCAAUUUCCCUUGGGAUAAAUAAAGUAUUAUCAAUCAAAUAAUCAAUUAAUCAAUAUGGAUACUGUUAAAGUUUAACUUACUGGCUGCUGCUAGUAUUGGCAGCUCUCUACCCAGUCUACAGGAUAUUUACACCUCACGCUGCAUUCAUAAAGACACUAGCAUCAUGGCUAAGCUGCAUGACCCCUCCAACCAACUGUUUACUCCUCUUCCAUCCGGAAGACUUGAAGGAAGACAGUUGCCAGAAACAGAGGGGGCUGGCAGCUCAG
ensembl:lncRNA